AUGGUUCCACUUUACAAACUCUCUCUUCUUCUCGCGAAACUCCGACGAAUUCUUCGUCGUCUUCACCGCUGGAGGCCUUCAUCAAACUGCCACAAGAUGAACAUGAACCCUACCUAUUUCGGUCCCCUGAACAUGAAUCUAGCCUCAGAUUUCACCAACUCCUCCUCAAUAAAUGGGAUCGAAGAUCUAGAAGUCACAAACCCUAAGUAUAUUAAGUUAUGGAUUCACGCGAAUAAUGAAAUUUGGGCUUCGACGGUGAAUCACGUUAGAGUUUGUAGCAAGGUUGCGAGAGGAUGA